GGUAGCGCGGGCGGCGGGAGAGCCCGCGGGCAGGUCUAGGUUUUGGGCCGAGCUGGGGGAGCCUGGCGCGUACUGGCACCACCGGAGCCCCGAGGCCGCGUGUGCGAUCCUGAGCUGUUUCCGUUUGGACCCGCCAGUACCUUUGCAGGCGAUUCUGGCAUGAAAACAAAGGAGCAGGGGGGAAAUCGGAAGUAGUUUACACCACUAUAUUUACUGGCACAGUCUUUUCAUUAUGGAUAUACAGUGCUGAGCUGGAUGGACCUUCAAACCUUGGUUAUGGCUUCUGGGUGCAAUCACUGUACAAAUAAUACUUGGUCAAAAAGGUCUGUGUGGUAUCCAUCCAUUCCAAAAGCAGAACAAUAUUUACUGGACCCCGGCUAUGCUACUGACUUGGCUUGUUCCUGGACUCUGACUGCCCUGCUUUGACCCCUGGCUUUCACCUGGACUCCAGCUAUGGUACUGAUUCUGUCCUGACUACGGAUUCUGUUCUUGGUUCUGACCGCAGCCUGUCCUCAGAUCUCAAUUUGAGAACCACCCUUGGCACAGUCCCAACCUGAUGUGUGGCUUCAACCUCCACUCCAACCACUAGGCCUGAUUACAGGGGGCAGUGCCUGACAAUAUCUGAGUUACGAUAGACAGUUUGUAUGUUGUUUUUUUUCCUUUGGCCACUAAAGUAUUGAUUGAGUUUUGUUAUAUCAGACUACAGUGUUUAUUCUGUAAUUUUUAAUUAAUGUGCAAAAUUAACAAUAUCUCUAAAGAUACACCUUAAAAUGACUGAAUUAUAGAUCUAGCUUAUCCUAAUUAUGUAUAAUACUGGCUAAGUCUGUAUUUACUCAGGCUAAUGUAGUUCAUAGCUAUUCAUGAUUUUUUUUUAAAGUGGGCUUAAAUACAAAGAAAAUCCUUCAACACACUACCAUAGUAUUUAAAUUGUGACAAAAGUUAGCAAAACAAGGACAUGAAAAUCUAAAAGUAACAGUCUUCUGUAACUCUUUCCUUUUCUGAGUUUCUCCAAAAGGUGCUGGAUGAUAUUUAACUGUAUAAAGUAUAUGGGCAUGAUCUUCUGGGGCUGUACAUUUGUGAACCUAGCCAACCUACCUAGAAGAAAUUCCAGAAUGGGUCCUCAUUCCUGCUCCACUUCUCUGGACUGUGGAUUUAAAACUAGAAGGAGUAUUUUGAACAAUGGACUGAGGACCUUCCAAUCUUUUGGAAGUUACCAGAGGCUUUAUCACUGCUAUAAACCUGAUCUAAGGACUUUGCAAUCCUGUGUGUG